GGGUUGUGAGGUUAAGCGACUAAGCGUACACGGUGGAUGCCCUGGCAGUCAGAGGCGAUGAAGGACGUGCUAAUCUGCGAAAAGCGCCGGCGAGGUGAUAUGAACCUUUGACCCGGCGAUGUCCGAAUGGGGAAACCCAGUGCAAUUCGUUGCACUAUCGUUAACUGAAUACAUAGGUUAACGAGGCGAACCGGGGGAACUGAAACAUCUAAGUACCCCGAGGAAAAGAAAUCAACCGAGAUUCCCCCAGUAGCGGCGAGCGAACGGGGAGCAGCCCAGAGUCUGAAUCAGCGUGUGUGUUAGUGGAACGGUCUGGAAAGUCCGGCGAUACAGGGUGACAGCCCCGUACACGAAAGCACACAUGCUGUGAACUCGAAGAGUAGGGCGGGACACGUGGUAUCCUGUCUGAAUAUGGGGGGACCAUCCUCCAAGGCUAAAUACUCCUGACUGACCGAUAGUGAACCAGUACCGUGAGGGAAAGGCGAAAAGAACCCCGGCGAGGGGAGUGAAAAAGAACCUGAAACCGUGUACGUACAAGCAGUGGGAGCACCCUUUGGGGUGUGACUGCGUACCUUUUGUAUAAUGGGUCAGCGACUUAUAUUCUGUAGCAAGGUUAACCGCAUAGGGGAGCCGAAGGGAAACCGAGUCUUAACUGGGCGUUAAGUUGCAGGGUAUAGACCCGAAACCCGGUGAUCUAGCCAUGGGCAGGUUGAAGGUUGGGUAACACUAACUGGAGGACCGAACCGACUAAUGUUGAAAAAUUAGCGGAUGACCUGUGGCUGGGGGUGAAAGGCCAAUCAAACCGGGAGAUAGCUGGUUCUCCCCGAAAGCUAUUUAGGUAGCGCCUCGUGAACUCAUCUUCGGGGGUAGAGCACUGUUUCGGCUAGGGGGUCAUCCCGACUUACCAACCCGAUGCAAACUGCGAAUACCGAAGAAUGUUAUCACGGGAGACACACGGCGGGUGCUAACGUCCGUCGUGAAGAGGGAAACAACCCAGACCGCCAGCUAAGGUCCCAAAGUCAUGGUUAAGUGGGAAACGAUGUGGGAAGGCCCAGACAGCCAGGAUGUUGGCUUAGAAGCAGCCAUCAUUUAAAGAAAGCGUAAUAGCUCACUGGUCGAGUCGGCCUGCGCGGAAGAUGUAACGGGGCUAAACCAUGCACCGAAGCUGCGGCAGCGA
rnacentral:rRNA from 1 species